rnacentral:tRNA from 1 species
GGGUGUCUGGCUUAAUGGUGAAGAGCUUGCUUGGCAUGCAUGAGGCCCUGGGUUUGAUCCCAGCACUUCUA